UACGGAGGAUCCAAGCGUUAUCCGGAAUCAUUGGGUUUAAAGGGUCCGUAGGCGGCCUUAUAAGUCAGCGGUGAAAGUUUUCAGCUUAACUGAAAAAUUGCCAUUGAUACUGUAGGGCUUGAAUUUUUUGUGAAGUAACUAGAAUAUGUAGUGUAGCGGUGAAAUGCUUAGAUAUUACGCAGAACACCAAUUGCGAAGGCAGGUCACUAAGCCUCAACUGACGCUGAUGGACGAAAGCGUGGGGAGCGAACAGG
rnacentral:rRNA from 1 species